CUUGUCGUGCUCGUCGUCGUCGUGGUAGACGUAGGCGAACCCACCGUGCCGGGUCAGGUCCAUGCCGGCCAUCUCGUCCUCGGCCGAGAUGCGGAGCAGGCCCAGCUUCUUGAGCGCCAAGAAGAGCGGGCCCAUGGUGCAGCUCACGAAGCCGGCGAUGACGAGGAUCUGCACGAUGUGCGCCGCCAGCAGCCGCCCGCCGCCGCCCAGGAACAGCCCGUACGGCCUGCCGGCGCCGUAGAUCUCCUCCACGUACUGCUUCUUGGCGAACAG
rnacentral:rRNA from 1 species